rnacentral:tRNA from 1 species
GCGCGUUUAGCUCAGUGGUAGAGCGUUUGCAUGACACGCAAAAGGUCGCAGGUUCAAUCCCUGCAACGCGCACCA